AGGCUGUUUUCAGACAUACAGAAGAGGGCAUCCGAUCUUAUUACCGAUGGUUGUGAGCCACUGUGUGGGUGCUGGGAUUUGAACUCAGGACCUCUAGAAGAGCAGUCAGUGCUCUUAACUGCUGAGCCAGCUCCUGCUCAAGCCAUCUCUCCAUCCCCCGAUUUAUUUAUUAUAUGUUUGACAUUAAAACAAGUCGGUACACAAGGAAGGCACUCAACCCACCCUUACCCGUCAGUUUGAACAGAGAAGUCAUGGACCCAUCAGAACUGGGGCUCCAACUAGCAUGUGUUCCGCAGAGGGGAGGGUCACUACAGAGGGAAUGUCCUGCUGUCUUCAAGGAAAGCCACGUGGUUUCAGUACCUGCCUGGACUUUCUUCAGUGAUGGACUAUGAUGUGGAAGUGUAAGUCAAAUAGACCCUUUCCUCCCCGGCCUGAUUUUGGUCAGCAU